rnacentral:rRNA from 1 species
GUAGGUGGCAAGCGUUGUCCGGAAUUAUUGGGCGUAAAGCGCGCGCAGGCGGUCCUUUAAGUCUGAUGUGAAAGCCCACGGCUCAACCGUGGAGGGUCAUUGGAAACUGGGGGACUUGAGUACAGAAGAGGAAAGCGGAACUCCAAGUGUAGCGGUGAAAUGCGUAGAGAUUUGGAGGAACACCAGUGGCGAAGGCGGCUUUCUGGUCUGUAACUGACGCUGAGGCGCGAAAGCGUGGGGAAGCAAACAGGAUUAGACUACCCGUGGUAGUCCACGCCGUAAACGAUGAGUGCUAAGUGGUUUAGGGGUUUCCCGCCCCUUAGUGCUGCAGCUAACGCAUUAAGCACUCCGCCGUGGGGAGUACGGCCGCAAGGCUG